UACGUAGGGGGCAAGCGUUGUCCGGAAUCAUUGGGCGUAAAGCGCGUGUAGGCGGCUCGGUAAGUCUGUUCUGAAAGUCCAAGGCUCAACCUUGGGAUGCGGAUGGAUACUGCCGAGCUCGAGUCCGGAAGAGGCGAGUGGAAUUCCUGGUGUAGCGGUGAAAUGCGCAGAUAUCAGGAGGAACACCAAUGGCGAAGGCAGCUCGCUGGGACGUGACUGACGCUGAGACGCGAAAGCGUGGGGAGCAAAUAGG
rnacentral:rRNA from 1 species